CUCCAUUUCCCUCAGCACUGCGCGGCCGCGCGCUCUGUUCUAGGGAAGCGCUUCGCCCCGCAGCUCUCACCAGGGCAGCUCGUAAUGGCCGCUGGCAGCAGGAGCGGACCCCAGCGUGUCGGUGGGCCCCCGCUUCUCAGCAGCCGCGGGCCCGGCCUUCUCGUCCUCCACGACCUCCAGCACUUCUUCCUCCUCCAUCUCGGCGGCUGCAGGCCCGGCGUCGUCUUCCCGCCGCCUCCAGCAGCCUUCCAAAGCACUGCACCCUCUGUGUAGGCAGUGACUCCUCGCGUAUCUGCAGUGAUUCUGUAGCUUAUAGCACAGCACCUGAGAGAGGACUACGAGAGUAUAACACCAGACGUGUGGUUUCGGCUUCAGUCGGUAGAGGGAGUACAGACACCUGUGUGCAGCGCCACGCGUGACAGCUGAGAGAGCAGGCUCUGCCCUGAGCCCUCUUCUGUCUGCAAGAAACUUAUCUCCCUUAAGUGAACAUUUUCCUGCAGGCUAAAAGGCAGCGGUGGGCUACUAACGCUGUGAUCUGUGUGCAGUCUGCUUAAAGGUUAAGCCAUGAGCUGUUGCAAAAGCAGAAGAGGGAGGAAGUGUCUGUUAAAGCUUCAGUGUGUGGUAGCGUUGGAUAGUUAGAAUAGAAACAGGCAGUCUGGGUUCACCCACUCUUGACAAGGAGCCACUCGGUCUGUGUUUUUGACAUAACACUUGAUCUUGUAGCUUUGGUUGUCCCAUGAUAAAGGCAAUGCUUGCUGCCAUUUGAUUAAUGUCUGUCAGAAACUUUGAAAGAACUUUGCAAAGGAGUUAAUGCAAAGUGGAGUGGUUUUUACUUUAAGCUACAGUAUUGCUUGACUUUUGCUUAGACAUGAUGCAGCUGUAAUGCAGCAUGGAUACUCUGUUCAGCAUCCAGCAUCUGUAUUUCUUUUAUGUUGUUUCCCUGUAUCAACAAUCUGGCAAUAUUCUCCACUGGCUGCCCCUAACUGGCACUGCAUGAUGUUAGGCAAUCCUGUUCAGUUGUGUAUUGUCUAUUAAAUGCUGAGCAAAACUUGAUCAGAGCCUUUGUCUGUCUGAAUGGAACAAAUGAAUCAUCAGUUAAAGUUGUUUGCAUUCAACUUCUUUAUGUCAAUGAUGAAAACUCAGUACUGUCAUUGUUUAGUAGGAGCCCAAGAAUUAUUAGGCAGUAGAACUCAAGAUUCCUUCAAGCUUGCACAGCAUGGAUUGCAGAGCAUGGAUUGCAGAGAAGGAAGAGCUGCAACGUUCAAACCAGGAAGUUCUUAAAGCAUAAAGGAGGAAUUCACCAAGAGGUAAAGGUAAGGGUGGAGUCUGGCUUAAUCAUAAAGUGAUAAGGGCAGAGGAAGUAAGAAAAACCUGACAAAUAAAAUUCCAAUUGUUAUCUUCCAACCUCUGUGCAUACAACUGAACUUUGUUCUAAAUGUUUGGUGUGUUUUUGCACAGAAAAAUAGGACUUGUGCUCUUCACACUUGCUUUAGUGGCUGUGUAUCUUUGAAGAUUGUAUUAAAGCCACAGGAUAAUACAGAAAUAUGCUCUCAGACUUUGACUGUUUCAAAAGUUGAGUUGGCAGCAGAGUGGUGCCAGCACAGCCCUUGUGCUCCACACAGCUCCUUUCCAAUGAGAAGUGACUGGACAUUCCUGUGGAGGUAAAUCCUUGGCUAUUAAUCCCACAAGCCAGGCUCCAUUCUUCUUGGAUUAACUCUGUAGAUUAAAGCUGCCUAUCUAAACUUCCCAUGCCUUAAUUAGGUUCAGCAUAGCCUCCAAUUCAGGGCAUUUGUUAUUCACUGUUGCUAGUGCUACAACACUGAGCUAAAGUUAUCACAGGACAAGUCUGAGAAAUGGGGCUGAGGUGGGGAGAAGUUUCUCUUUCCUGCAUUAGACAUCUGGGAUUUGCCCCUUCCAAGUGAACAAAUAAUAUCCCAGAGUGUCCCAGAGUCUUCUGGUGCAACUUCCCCCCAAAUACUUGAUUUCUCUGCUCUCACGUUGCUCUAUUUCCAUUGAUUUUUACCUGCACUUGCUCAAAGCAGGUCUAAUUGUAGCAGAAAUACUUAGUAAUCUGCUUUGAUUGAUGUAUCCAGGAGCAUCUCAGAGCACCUCCGUUGCAGAGGAGCUGUGUGUCAUCAGCUUCCACAGAUGUCUGUGUAACUUUAAUGCUGUAGGUAACAGGGUAAAACAUUUCUGAUGUCAAAACUGGCACGGAGGAUCUCAUGUGCCAGCCUGAAACUACUUUUUACAUAUGAGUUGCUAUUAAAUUUUUGUUUGGUUAGUUGACAGGCUAUAUUCAGUAGAUAUGCAGAUACCUAAACAAAUGCUUAGAUAACUACAGGUUCCGUGGCAUAUUUUGUAAAAUGCUUUUGGGAUCCCUGUGGAUGAAUGUAAGACCUUUGUAACCAUUCCCAGCCAUCAGAGAGAUGCCAGCCAGAUGCUACAGGACAGUACACCUAACAUAAAUAUUUGUGCUCUAAGGAUUUUGUUCAGUGUUUACUUAAAAUGUAAACUUUAAAAACACCCAGAAGGGUUUCUGUAAUCCAUUUUAGAUAUCUCAGUUCUGUUUAGUGAGGAUACAGAGUUCAUGCAUUGGUAUCAGAGAAGCUGGUGGUGACUGAUGAGCAGGGAAGUGCCCCGGCCCUAAAAGCUGAUAUUUCUGAUCCCACGGUUGGCUUUGCCUCCCUGAGUUUGUCUCCUAUGGGCUCUGAGCACAUGCAGGCUCAAGG
rnacentral:lncRNA from 1 species